GUUUGACCUCGGGUCAGGUAGGAAUACCCGC
rnacentral:rRNA from 1 species